UGGAAUAUGUAGCGCCCUGAAAUGUUAUUUCAUAUCUCUUACUGAUGUAAUUCAACGGCGUCCAUUUUUUUUAUAAUUUGUGUUUAAGGUAAUUCAUGUGUUGUGCACAUACUAACUUAAGGUAGGAAAGUGCUCGUUGUUCCGUUGGAAGAGAGCGCUGUGUGUUUCAGAGAGAGCUUUGUGUUUCAGAGAGAGUCGUGUGUAAAGCUGGCCGGCUGAAGUAAACAGAGUACGUUUGCUUUAACCGGGAAAAAAGAAGAACGAAGUUUUUUUUUGUUCAUGUCAAAGGAGCAACAAAUACAGAAUUAAGUUUCCUUCAACAAGUUAUUUAAUGAGACUUCCUUUGCCACGCUUGUUCUGUAAGUUUCAUUUACAAGGAAACCGAAACUUAAGGAGCUGCACAGGCGCUCACAAACACAGAUCAGAAAUCGCGCGGCAGCGGACUGAGAACUCCCUUUUGGCACUCUCCCACAUUAUUGGAUGAUGAUGAAGACAGGAAGAGUCGUGAGCUGCUGUGUAGCUCUGUUCCUUGCCCUGACCUCAGUGUCGGCUGUCGAGAGAAAGCUCGAUUCAAUCAAGGACUUGAAGGAAAUCAACUUUGGUCAAUCUGUGCCCAAACACAGUCUUUUGCUGCUCUACUGGUUUGCCAACGCAGUGGACAUCGACUGGACCAACACUAUGAGGCUGACCUUCGAUCCAGAGAGUAGAGCUUAUGGCUCACAUUAUUAUGGCAACUUUGAGAGAGUGUUGGACGACCUGCCUUGGGGAAAUAGAUACCAGUACUACACACUUGGCAGUCUCAAUCAAGAAAGUUCCAUGCAACUUCCUCCUUAUGUUGUCCGUCCCCCAGCAUCAGGGUAUGAGGGCAAUAACAGGGACAGGAUCAUAGUUCGUAUAAGGAGGCCAAACACAGGACAGCAAGUUCCCCAGACGAUAGACCAAGUUUAUAUCACACAGCAUCUUAACAACCAGCGGGAAUAUGAUCCAGAUCAUACCUACAGGAUCACGACUAACCUCUUGAGAGAGAUCAGAGAGUUUUCUGGUGGACAAAACCAUCAGCAACUGGUGCAACUCAGCAACCGCUUUGGAAGCAACGCUGAUGAUUCCUGGUCGAGGCACAUGAUAAACACGUGGGCUCCUAACCUCUCUGGCCUUGGACUGCUGUUGUAUAUUCUGACGGAGGAAAGGUCCUCCUCUCACCAACGCAACAACAGGCAAAAUAAUUGGGCUUUGAUUCUUUUUUUCAUCUUUAUUGUUGCAUGCUUCAUUAUAUUUGGGAACUUAAAUCAAAAGUAACGGGGAGUAAUGUAAUGAGAGUGCUUCUCAAGAGAUGAGGAUAACAACGCUCAGGCAGGUACGACGGGGUUGUUGUUCUCGAGUGUUGUACACUUUGUUUGACGUUCAUAUUUCUUCUAUUAUUGUGUAUACUAUUUUAGCUUAUUGUUUUUUUACAAUGCACUGCUCUGGCAAGUUUAAAGUCAUCGUUAUUGUACAUUUUUCAAUGUUGAACAUACAGAAAAUCGAAAGUACGUUUGUCUCUUUUUGUUCGACAAAGUGAAUAAUAGUCAUAAUAGUAAUAAGGUAGUUCAUAAAGCUUGAGGCUUCUUUCAUGCUACAAUGUCCCGCUGUGAUAUGUACAUGUGUGUGUUCUUAUAGUGACGCCCUGUUGAUUCAUCCUGUCUGAUGGAGAUUAAGAGAAUGUAAAUUGCUCUGACUGAAAAAUGAAACGAGUGAAAGGUUCUCCAUCUCUGCUUUGACAAUUCAUUACCUUUACACACAAGAAACAGGAGUGCAUUUCAUGAAUGGUUUUCUGUUCUUUUUAUCGUGUUGGAUAUUGUUCAUUAAACUCGUUAACAGCC